UGCCAGCCGCCGCGGUAAUACGUAGGUGGCAAGCGUUGUCCGGAUUUACUGGGCGUAAAGGGUUCGUAGGCGGAUGAUUAAGUCAGAUGUGAAAGACCAGGGCUCAACCCUGGGGCUGCAUUUGAUACUGGUUAUCUAGAGUGCAGGAGAGGAGAGCGGUAUUCCUAGUGUAGCGGUGAAAUGCGUAGAGAUUAGGAAGAACACCAGUGGCGAAGGCGGCUCUCUGGACUGUAACUGACGCUGAGGAACGAAAGCGUGGGGAGCAAACAGGAUUAGAUA
rnacentral:rRNA from 1 species